UCAAGCCCACCUAGAGUCCUGACCAGGCGACCAGGUGACCACGAUCGUCGAGCAAGGAGCAAGGUGUUGCAUUCCUUUUUCUUCUUCUCUCAGAGUCUUAGAGAUCGAAGGCUCCUUCUCUUCUACUCUUCUUCUUCUUUGGGGCAAUCAAUUGAAUGUAGUGGUCUGGAACAUGCUCUCUUGCUUACAAUUUAUUGUGGGUUUCUCCUUCUCUUUCCUCCAAUUCGAUGUGAGCAACUGACUCAACUGAGGACUGAGCCACUGAGGAACAAUGGUUUCGAAUUUAUUGGUUGUCUUGCUCUGUUCCUGUGUACUGGCAUUCUUCCUGAAUUACUGUAUAUUUCUUAAUACGACACUAAAUUCAGCACUAACGCAGACAAUUUGCGGUAACUUGAAGGUUUGUAUCCACUAAAUUUCUGCAUCUCCGGGAUGUAUUACAACAUAGUUUAGCAGCCUGUGUGCAAUGUUUUGUUAAUUGAUCUAUUAGUUCUUUAUUUGGGCUCUUAUAUUUUCUGGUUAUUAUACUGGUAUAGGAUUUCUUUACCAUUGGACUUGGUUGGGUGAUAUUUGGUGGCCUUCCAUUUGAUAUUUUGAAUGUCAUUGGGCAAUGUCUCGGUUUUCUUGGUUCUGGAUUGUACGCGUACAAUAAGCUCAUAGGGAAGUAGCAUAAUCAAUGGAUGGCUAGUUUUCUCCAUUGAAGAUGAUUAGUUGCAGCCUUUGCCCCUGUUCCCGCUCCAAUUUUGGGUUUGUGAUUAUGGAUCUUAGAAGGGAGAGGCGACUGUUAAAGAUAGGAGAUUUCUGCUCAGUGGAUACACAACUAUUAACUGGAAACAAAGCCUGCUUCUUUGGCCUUGUAGUUAUUCUUCUACAGGAUAGGUAUUAGAUUAGAAACAGUGAUGGCAAUUUAGUGUUGGCAGCUGCUUGCUGAUCUAAUUUGUUAGACUUGACAUUGUAUAUGAUGAUUCUCUCUUCUUCCAAUGU